rnacentral:rRNA from 1 species
GACGAACGCUGGCGGCGUGCCUAAUACAUGCAAGUCGAGCGGAUGGAAGGAAGCUUGCUUCCUAAAGUCAGCGGCGGACGGGUGAGUAACACGUGGGCAACCUGCCCCUAAGAUCGGGAUAACUUCGGGAAACCGGAGCUAAUACCGGAUAUGAUUAUGUCUCACAUGAGACAUAAUGGAAAGACGGUUUCGGCUGUCACUUAGGGAUGGGCCCGCGGCGCAUUACCUAGUUGGUGAGGUAACGGCUCACCAAGGCGGCGAUGCGUAGCCGACCUGAGAGGGUGAUCGGCCACACUGGGACUGAGACACGGCCCAGACUCCUACGGGAGGCAGCAGUAGGGAAUCUUCCGCAAUGGACGAAAGUCUGACGGAGCAACGCCGCGUGAGUGAAGAAGGUUUUCGGAUCGUAAAACUCUGUUGUUAGGGAAGAACAAGUACCAUAGUAACUGAUGGUACCUUGACGGUACCUAACCAGAAAGCCACGGCUAACUACGUGCCAGCCGCCGCGGUAAGAC